rnacentral:ncRNA from 1 species
GAUAGGUCUCUGUCGUUAGCGUGAUUGGACACUGACGCAGAGUCAACUAGCGUGGUUCGCACGGUCUUUCCCAGGAAAGCCGCAGGCGGUCCGAGCCACGAGGGGGGAGGCUCGGACCGUCCUGA